CUAUAAUCUCUCUAUGCACUGUCAUUAUCACCUCUUUAUUGCUACCUUUGCUUCUGGAGCCAUGACUCACCUUCUCUUAGCCGAGUAUAAAUACCUAGGAGAAAACGA